rnacentral:tRNA from 3 species
GCACCCAUAGCUCAGCUGGAUAGAGCGCUGCCCUCCGAAGGCAGAGGUCGCAGGUUCGAAUCCUGCUGGGUGCGCCA